rnacentral:lncRNA from 1 species
CCCACACAACACAAAUGUUUUGUUUUUUUUUGGCUCAGACAUCUCACACAAAAGUAAUACAAACAUAAGGAUUGUGUGACCUGUGUGUGGAGAAACAGCCAUGUAAGAGCACUGAUAGACAACAAUGACUGGCCAUUAUUACAUUUCUAAUAAAGAGCAAAUGUCCAACCAGCUGACUUUAAUAUGAUACUUCUAUUCAUUUGCGCGCGAUCACUCUCCCUACAAAGCAAAACAAGUAAAAAAUGGCGAAAGCCUUCCCACUGGAGCAAGUCAGCUGAGCUUCUGAAUGUUAAGAACAGAAUUAGGAUAUUUGGUCUUUUUUUUUUUUUUUUGGACAAAAGGUCCUUACACACCGGGACUGUUUUUUCACAUUCACAUCAGGGACGUUUUCCCGUCCUGCGAUAUUGCAGCAUUUAUUUUUUUGGAUCACGGUCAAUUUUUCUAAAGUUUCCCAUACUGUGUGUCCACUUCUGGCCAAUCAGAUUGCUUGUUGUUGCGACGUCUGAUUCACUGGUAUAUCCAACAUGGCCGACGGGCUGAUUGCUUACGUGCCAAAGAACAGAGUGCUUUUUGAUAAAAAACACGAACAUUACAAAGAUAACGACCUGAAGGAUAGUUUGUGUGCUUUUACAGUUUGCUAAAAGUCUUUGUUUCAACUUUCAUCUGUGCUAAGUAACCUUAGCUCGUAAGCUAACCUGUUCAGAUACAACAUACCAUCUGUAUUUUCACUGUCUCAAACUCAAUCGUGUUGCUGUCACAGCACCAUUAGCUCUCGGUUGUUAUCUUAUGUUUAUGGAUUAUAGUUAUCGCAUUGGGCAUGAUGUGUAUAGUCAGGCGCGUCAAAAUUCGCCUCAGAAUAUUUUAUAAUUCCGCGUCAGAUAUUUGCCUCGGUCCCGGUGAGGACCUUGAAGCAGUGGGGGAGGAAAAUACAACAUUACAAGCUCUUUAACUAUUUCUGUGAUGAUGAAUUAGUGAGAUGUGGACUGUAAAAUUAGUUAUAGUAGUAUAGUUAUAACAACUGAAGAUUUUUUUUUUUAAUUGUAAAAACAAAGCACUGGCUUCUGUUGUUUAGUCUUUCACAGUUACUUCAAAUAAACUCUGCCUUGCUUAAAAUCCAAGGGACCUUGAGGAAUACAAUCUUGUAUAAUGUAACAUACCUAUGGUGGGGAGACAUGGCAUUGACAUUUACAUAAUGGGCUCUGUAGACACAUUGUCAAGGGUCAUGACAGCCACAAACACCUCAGCACUUUGUGGCUUCUACUUAAAUAAUCACUUACAUACUUCCCAUAUUUUCAGAAUGUGCCUCAAUGUUAAAUGUUUUAUAAUUCCACCAGACGGUCACACUGUUUCUUUCUGAGCAUCAUGUUGUAGCCCUUUACCUUUAUUCUGGGUCAUGCACAUUUCCUGUGUGGGCGCACAGCAGGGGUUGGACAAACCUUUGAAAAGAAAAGAAAGCAGAAACAAGGACAGGUCUUUGUUCCUCUCGCUGAACAACUGCCUGCUCCCUUCACCACUUUUACUUUGGGGGAUAAUAAACUUAAACUUCCAAGAAGAAUAGUGAGCCUUGAGUUACACUGGGUCAGCUUCCUGCCACUCUGUGGCUACAAGGCAACCCAAAAACAACAAAUGAAAGAUUUGCAUUUUAGAGAACCUGUGGGGUGCAAACAGUAACUUUUUUUAUCCACAUAAUUCAACCACAGUGAUUCAGAAAAAUAGGACAGAUUUUUCAAGGUAUGAAGAGAUGGGCUUAUACUAAGAAAGCAACAACGAAUAACCACUCUGCCAAGUUCAAAGAACAGCCAUUUUCUCUGAGCUCUGGAAAACUCUGCAGCCAUGUUUUCUAUGAUGCAGUCAUCAAAGUGACAGGCAGUACUGUUCUUAAAUCCUGUGAGGGCCAGGUUACUAUUGAAAAUCUGAUUUUAUUAAUUAACUAUUAUUACAUUCCAAUUAUUUUAAAUGAAUACACCAUUACCAAAGUAGCAAUGUGACAUUUAUUAGCCUGUGUGUUGUAUUGUUUGAAAUCGUUUUGAAACAAUAGUCACGAUUUCACAGAUAUUUUUUCAUAAUCUAUGGUGUUGCCUCAAGAAAGCAGAGAGCAAUGUAACUAGGAGAAGCUGACAGCUUCAACCAGCUCUGACAGUGAGGAUACCCAAGAGGCUUGAGCUUUCCAACAGAGGAAAUUUUAUGUGGGCAGGGAGAAACAUCUCCAAGUCUCCCAUCAAGACUCCAACCCUGCAUAUGGCAUUUGCCAUGGUGGCAGCCCAGCACUACAGCUCCGACUGCAAACAUACGUUAAAAGGAACGGUUGAAAGCUUAAGCCAAAUGUGAAUAAUUGACAAGGUGGCCAGCUGAGUCCUUUUGAGUGUUUUAUUUGACUAUAAAGUCAUAUUUUGCAACAGGUAUCCAGACUAAAGAAAUAACUCUUUAAAACCUAGUGAUUCAUGAGCCACAUUUUUGGAAUGAACAUACAGAGCUCAGCCAGCCGCUCUCCUUCAAUACAACACCUACAACAGUCUGCCCAGGAUCCAACAGCCUGCACAAUUUAAGUGUUUUCUGCAUGAUGCAACUUCACAAAAGGUAAUCUAAAUACUAAAACUGCAGAACAACAUCAGUUUAUCUUCAAAAAAACCUGGCAAACAUUUCAUUUCUGAAUUUCUGCUUCUUGAUUUUGAUUUCUGCUUCAUCGUUGAUUUUGACCAAUAGAAAGCCCAUUUCGACCACAGGGAUAUAUAGGAGCAAGGUUAAGUAGACAAUCUAGCUCAAGCAUCAUUUUUCAGUAGAGAUGGUGACAGGCAGAAGAGUGAACAGUUAGUGGCACUGAAUUUCUGAGGUACAGUUAACCCAUUAAAGAAAUGUAAUCUUUUCAGGCCCUGAAAACUGUCCUCCUAAUUAGUCCCUCACUGCCAGCAAUAAAGUCAGGACAAGAUUGUGGCAGAAUGAAAACAGGUCUGGUUUCAUGUGCUCUCUUCUAUAUUAUUUUGUGGAUUCAAACAGAAAAAUCAGUUUAACUGAUGAAAGGUAAAAAUUUUGUGAGCCCACGUCAGUCAAUUUUGAUUGUAUAUGAGACAGUCCUGAUAAAUAAAUGUAAAGAAUAUAAAUAAUUCAUAAACAAUUUUUGACAUUUCCCUCUACAUUCACGAUUAAUACUUUAAAAAACUCUGUAGAGUAAUGAUUUCAAAUCACAGAUGAGCAAUCACCAUUCUUUCAAUUUCCUUGCCACAGUAUUGCAGUUUUGACGUUUUAUUUAAGUAACAAGGUAAAACAAACCAGGCCACAGUCACUCUCAAACACAAGGAGAAUGGUGCCCAAGUAUCACUGAAGCAUCCAAAUCAGAAAUGCAUACAAAUGUCUAUUGUUUUUUGUAGUUUAUUUUUAUAUUGUCUCACUGAUGGUGACCCCCCCAUCAGUGAGA